CCUCACCCCGUCCAUGACGGCGACUACUGCUGCUGCAGCUGUUGGUGGAAGCUGAGGCGUGGGGCGGCCAAACGGGCCCGAUGCGCCGGACAGCAGGACGAAGACGACAACAGCAUCAACCUGCACGCAGCUGCACACGGCGGCAACACCGCCUCGCCGGCCGCCGCUGCCGUUCCUGCCGCCCUUCCGGCCGCCCUCUCUGCCACGGCGACGGACAGAGCCGCAAGCGCCGCAGAUGCGCCGGUCCUGUUAAAUACCGGUAUGGAGCACACGCCUCGUGCCAGCGCAGACGCCAGUGGCAGUGCCGCUUUCCCGGCUUUGGCCGCAGGCGCGCUGGCUGCUGCCGCAGGUGCGGCGGCGGCGGCGGUGCCGCAACAGGCAGCGGAAGCAAGCGCGCAGGGGCAGGCGGCGGCCGCCGCGCCGCCAAGCAGCCCACAGGCACAGAUCCUGUGCGCCACAUGCGGCGCACCUUAUUUGCGCCGCCCGAGGACCCCGAGCGGCUUCUUUGCGCGUGGCACCCGCACCUUCACCUGUCACGGCUGCUGCCUACGCAACAUCACGUCCCACGGCUUCUACGGCCCGACCGGGACCCGGAGCAUGGAGGAGGCAGGGGGGCGGGAGUGCGCCGAGUGCGGCACGGAGAAAACGCAUCAGUGGUACCUUCACCCCACCUGUGACGGCGCGUACUUCUGCGAGACUUGCCGCUUAAGGCUGAUGAAUCGGGCAUGCAAGCGAGCUCGCUGCGCCCGGGAGCAGGAGAAGGAAGGCGACACCAACAGCCAGCGCACAGCUGCACACGGACACAACGCCGGCUCGCCUGCCGCCGUCGCCACCCUUCCUUCCGCCCUUCCUGUCGCGGCGACGGCGCCGAGAGCUCUGCCCGCGCACGCCACAGAUGUGGCUGUCCUGUCGAGUCCAGGCGCGGCGCCUGCCGCCUGUGAUGUUGCACCAGUUGCCGCUACAGAUGCUGCAACGGAUGCAGACUCCACAGGUGCUGGUACCGUGGCAACAGACGCGGCAGCAGCAGCAGCUGCGACAGCGGCGGCGGCUGCAGCUGUGGGCUUAGAGCCGGCGGCAGCGGCUGCUGCGGCUGCGGCCGGUGGAGCGGCGGGCGAGACGCGGCACCGCGCCGCGUGUGCAGCGGCGCCGCCGGCUCGCACUGCCGCCACACGCGCACGUGACCGGAUCGCCAAGCAGCUGCAGCAAACGCGGCCGUCAACAGCAUCGCGUGCAGCAGCGGCGCCAGCGCCAGCGCCAGCGCCUGCCGCGUCGGGUGCAGGACGUGCAGCAGCACCGCCACCAGCACCAGCAACACCACUAGCUCCAGCACCAAUGGGAUGCGCACUUGCAGGACCUGCGCCGUCAGCGGCAGCGGCAGCAGCAGCGGCAGCGGCAGUGGCAGGAGGAUUGCAGGAGGCGGCGGACGGAGGUGCAUCCCUCAGCCCGCAGGCACAGUUUAUGUGCGCCACAUGCGGCAACCGCUAUGUGCGUAAACCCGGCGCCGCCUGCGGCUUCUUUGCCCACGGUACCCGCACCUUCACCUGCGACAACUGCUGCAAACGCAACCUCGCGUCCCACGGCUUCUACGGCCCCCCCGGGACCCGGAGCCUGCAGGAGGCGGGCGGGCGGCAGUGCGCCGAGUGCGGCACGGAGACAACGCCCAAGUGGCGCCUACACCGCACCCGUGACGGCGCGUACUGCUGCAACGCGUGCGCCAAAAGGCUGAUGUAUCGGGCGGCCAAACGGGCCCGAUGCGCCCGGGAGCAGGAGGAGGAAGGCGACACCAACAGCCAGCGCGCAGUUGCGCACGGAGGCAACACCGGCUUGCCCGCCGCCGCCGCCACCCUUCCUGCCGACCUUCCUGUUGCGGCGACGGCGAAGAGAGCUCUGCCCGCGAACGCCAUAGAUGUCUUGUUGGGCCCAGGCGCGGUGCCCGCCACCUGUGAUGCUGCACCAGUUGCUGCUAUAGAUGCAGACUCCACACAUGCUGGUACCGUGGCGGCAGAAGCAGCAGCAGCUGCGGGGGCGGGGGCAGCUGCAGCUGUGGGCCUAGAGUCGGCGGCAGCGGCGGCUGCGGCUGUGGCUGCUGGAACGGCGGGCGAGACGCGGGACCGCGCCGCAUGUGCAGCGGCGUCGUCGGCUCGCACUGCCGCCACAUGCUCACGUGACCGGAUCGCCAAACAGCAGCUGCAACAAAUGCAAUCGACAGUGGCGGCGCCGGCGCCGAUGCCUGCCGCGUCGGGCGCAGGACGUGCAGCAGCACCCGCAACAGCAGGAGGCGCGACUGCAGGAUCUGCGUCUUCAGCUUCAGCAGCAGCGGCAACGGAAGGAGAGGAUUUCAGAGGCGCGGCGGACAGAGGUGCAUUCCACACUUCGCAGGCGCAAAUCACGUGCGCCACAUGCGGGGCACCUUAUUUGCGCCGCCCGGGGACCUCGAGCGGCUUCUUCGCCCGUGGCACCGGCGCCUUCACCUGCCACGGCUGCUGCCUACGCAACAUCGGGUCGCACGGCUUCUACGGCCCGCCCGGGACGCGGAGCAUGGAGGAGGCGGGCGGGCGGGAGUGCGCCGAGUGCGGCAUGGUGGGGCCAACGCGGUGGCGCAUUCACCCCACCCGUGACGGCGCGUACUGCUGUAGUGUGUGCGAGAAAAGGCUGAGGUCUUGGGCGGCCAAGCAAGCUCGCUGCGCCCAGGAACAGGAGGAGCAAGGUGACACCAACAGCCAGCGCGCAGCUGCGCAUGGAGGCAACACCGGCUCACCAGCCGCCGCCACCGCCCUUCCUGUCGCGGCGACGGCGAAGAGAGCUCUGCCUGCAAGAGCCGCAGAUGCGGCUGUGCCUCUGAGCCCAGGCGUGAUGCCUGCCGCCUGCGAUGCUGCACCAGCUGCUACACCAGCUAAUGCACCAGCUAUUGCACCAGCUGCUGAUCCCACAGGCGCUGGUACUAUGGGGACAGACACAGCAGCACCAGCAGCUGCGGCGGCGGCGGCUGCAGCUGUGGGCCUAGAGCCGGCGGCAGCUGCGGCUGCGGCUGUGGCUGCUGGAACGGCGGGCGAGACGCGGGACCGCGCCACGUGUGCAGCGGCGCCGCCGGCUCGCACUGCCGCCACAUGCGCACGUGACCGGAUCGCCAAGCAGCUGCAGCAAACGUGGCCGUCAACAGCAUCGCGUGCAGCAGCGACGCUGGCGCCGGCGCCUGCCGCGUCGGGCGCAGGACGUGCAGCGGCGCCGUCACCGGCAGCCGCAACAGCAGGAGGCGCGACUGCAGGACCUGCGCCUUCAGCUGCAGCAACAGCGGCAGUGGCAGGGGGAUUGCAGGAGGCGGCGGACGGAGGUGCAUCCCACAGCGUGCAGGCACAAUUCAUGUGCGACACAUGCGGCGCACCUUACGUGCGCCGCCCGAGGACCGCGAGCGGUUUCUUCGCGCGUGGCACCCGCACCUUCACCUGCGACAACUGCUGCAAACGCAACCUCGCGUCCCACGGCUUCUACGGCCCCCCCGGGACCCGGAGCCUGCAGGAGGCGGGCGGGCGGCAGUGCGCCGAGUGUGGCACGGAGAAAGCGCA
rnacentral:lncRNA from 1 species